rnacentral:lncRNA from 1 species
AAGAAGUAAGAGAGACUAAUUGAGAAACUCAAGCUUUGAUUUGUGGUUGAUGCUAAAAGCCUUCAAGUACAUGGGUAUUUGUAGGUACCAGUUUAUUUUAAUAGUAUUAUUAGUUAUCCAAUAUUUUUCUUUUCAUAUUUCCUUACCAUCUAGCCCCUAUAUCAUCAAAAUAUUACUCCUCUUUUUUCAAAACCUUUGAGAUUUGGUACUUUCUUUUCACCUUUUAUAGUAUUUUAAAA